AUCCAGCUGAUGAGUCCCAAAUAAGGCGAAAUGCGCGUCAUGGAU
rfam:Schistosoma curassoni strain Dakar, Senegal genome assembly, scaffold: SCTD_scaffold0001131